rnacentral:lncRNA from 1 species
UUUCAAUUGAUAUGUUUCCUAUAUGUUUUAUUUAUUAUUGGUGGAACGUAGAUUGUCAUGUUGGGGUGUCUUAUAAGUUUAUUUAACUAUGGAAAUGAAACUUGUAGUAACAAUUUAAAUCUUUAAAAUUUGGGUCGUUACACCAUUCUUGCAUGGAGGGGUUUUCCACCUUAUCAUCAAUCUCUCUUGUGUAAUAUUUGUUGGAAUUCACCUAGAGCAAGAGUUUGGACCAUGUAAAUUUUUCUGUCCUUGUUUCAUUAUCCUAAAUUGAGAAAAUUCGUAACUAAAUUUUGAAUUUCUUCCCGUUAGUGAGUUAUCUUAUUCUUCCUUUUCAAUUUUUUCCUGUGCAGUAAGGACGGGGCUUAUCUACAUACUCUCAGCUCUUAGUGGAAGUUUGGUAGCUGCUCUGUUUCUUCAAGAUAGGCCAUCAGUUUCUUUGUCUAGUGCGUUAUUUGGAUUGCUUGGUGCAAUGCUAUCUGGGCUUAUCCGGAAUUGGAAAUUUUACUCCAAAAAGGCCCUCGAGAUUGUUGUAUUAGGGGCCUUUUGUUUGCUUUCAUCUUCAAUGAGACUGAUAAUUCAUCUUUCAUUUGUUUGCGGUUUGCUAUACUUGUGGCUUUUACCGUGAGCUUGAUGCUAAAUUUCGUCCUAGGCUUGAUGCAGCAAUAUUUCAAACAUAGGAGGCCUUAUUUCUUGGUUUUUUGCUCUUAUUCAAACCUCGACUGGAGAAAAUAUAUCAAAACAAAGACAGUUUAUUCGAAUAUGAUGUCAAGCAUUCUGUCAAACUUAAGCAGAAGUUAGGCAGACCAGUCUUGAGGAGUAUUUCUCUUGUCAUCUUCAGUCUUCUGGAAGUUUGUGUUCUUUACCCAUUAUUAUUUCAUUUCAUUGGCCUUGCAUGAAAUCUCAAACGCGGCAUCUCUUCAUUAUUCAGACUUGCAGGAGUUAUUGUGGCAGUAGUUCAAGGCAUAAAUGUGAACAAAUAUUGUAUCUGGUGCCAAUUUAUUGACUGUGUUCCAUCCAAAUGAUGAAGCUGCGGUAGCAAAAUGACACAUUGUGAGGUAUAGCAGAAAUGAACUUCUCAAAUAAGCAUGCAUCUCGAACAAAAUAAAUUUAAAAGAAAUUGUGGAAAAUAAUUAAAAAAUUCUCCAAAAACAAUGAAUUGGAUGGCACUAAUUCUACUUGUUUGGGUGCAGACAACGG